CCCGCUGAACUUAAGCAUAUCAAUAAGCGGAGGAAAAGAAACCAACUGGGAUUACCCUAGUAACGGCGAGUGAAGCGGUAACAGCUCAAAUUUGAAAUCUGGUCUUUACGGGGCCCGAGUUGUAAUUUGUAGAGGAUGUUUCGGGCAAGGCUUUGGCUUAAGUUUCUUGGAACAGAACGUCAUAGAGGGUGAGAAUCCCGUCUAGAGCCGUUGGCCGCGUCCAUGUGAAACUCCUUCGACGGGUCGAGUUGUUUGGGAAUGCAGCUCUAAAUGGGUGGUAAAUUUCAUCUAAAGCUAAAUAUUGGCCAGAGACCGAUAGCGCACAAGUAGAGUGAUCGAAAGAUGAAAAGCACUUUGAAAAGAGAGUUAAACAGUAUGUGAAAUUGUUGAAAGGGAAGCGCUUGUAACCAGACUUGAGUGUGUCGGUUCCCUCAGUCUUUUGACUGGGUCAUUCCGUCAUAUCCAGGCCAGCAUCGGUUCGAGUGGUCGGUUAAAGGUCUUGGGAAUGUAUCUACCUCCGGGUCGACUUAUAGCCCAGGGCGUCAUGCGGCCUACCUGGACCGAGGAACGCGCAUUUGCUCGGAUGUUGGCGUAAUGGUUACAAGCGGCCCGUCUUGAAACACGG
rnacentral:rRNA from 1 species